CCUGGCACCGUGCUCGAAGCGGCGCCGAAAGUCAUUCGCACGCGGAAAGGGAGGGUAGUUAAAGGACCUCCUUUUUCGCCGCUUUGGAGUUACGUUCAUAAAGGGGAAACGAGAAAGCCAGGUCUCAAAACUAAGACUAGCACCUUCUAGUUCCUCCUUCUUGGAACCCAUACUGUGAGGAAGUUCAAACAGCUGUGUGGAAGAAAAACAAAGUCCCUUAUUGGCAGUCUUAGCUGCAUUCCCAGCCAAGAGCCAAUCCCAACUUGCCAGUCAUGUGAGUCAUCUUGGAAGUGGAUUCUCCAACCUUAGUCAAGGCUCUCUUGGCUGAUGUCACAGAAAGCAGAGACACAAUGAUUCCACUAAACCCUAACUAAGUUACAAUAUUUUGAGCCAAUAAAUGAUUUUUAUUGUUUUAAGUCA